rnacentral:rRNA from 1 species
UGAGGAAUCUUGCGCAAUGGGGGAAACCCUGACGCAGCAACGCCGCGUGGGUGAAGAAGGCCUUCGGGUCGUAAAGCCCUGUCUAGUGGGAAGAAUAACUUCCGGGUAAAUAGCCUGGAGGUAUGACGGUACCACUGAAGGAAGCACCGGCUAACUCCGUGCCAGCAGCCGCGGUAAUACGGAGGGUGCAAGCGUUAUUCGGAAUUAUUGGGCGUAAAGGGCGUGUAGGCGGCUUGGUAAGUCAGAUGUGAAAGCCCGGGGCUCAACCCCGGAAGUGCAUUUGAAACUGCUUGGCUUGAGUGCGGGAGAGGAAAGCGGAAUUCCCAGUGUAGAGGUGAAAUUCGUAGAUAUUGGGAGGAACACCGGUGGCGUAGGCGGCUUUCUGGACCGACACUGACGCUGAGACGCGAAAGCGUGGGGAGCAAACAGG